rnacentral:lncRNA from 1 species
AUCAUUUAUUCUUAUUAAUAAAUCUCAAGAUAAACAAUCAUUAUUUAUACUCCAACUGAAUCCUUACAUAAAACAUAUGAAAUAAAGUCUCCAAAGUAAAGUCUCUAAUCCAAAAUAAAAAGUCUAGCCAAAUUUAAUCUUUAAAGCAACUCCAAAGAUCCACUAAGAAAAAUUCUCCAUCUAAGCACCCAAGCCACAUUUCUAAUCAAUCUGCAAAAUAUUAGAGACGAGGGGUGAGCCGUCAACUCGGUAAGCAAAUCCAUGCACAAUAUUUGAAAACCUUUGUCAUGUAUCAUUAAACAUUUUGUAACAACAUCUUCAUUUAGCAUAAGGGGUGGAUUCAUAUAAAAACAUUAAAGCGUAAACAUUGGUAGUUCAUGCCUCGUAGUCAUCAUCAUUCAUCAUUUAGGGUGUUAUACCCCGCAUUGUUCCUCAUUCAGGGUACUAUACUCCACAUUGUUCGUAACAUCCUUGUGCACAAGAUCAUCAUCAUAUCAGCAAGCUGGCCAUAACAUUUCAUAACAUCAUAACAUUAACAUCAUAUACAUUACUACGGACUAUGAGCCAAAACAUUUUUGAAUCCACCAUACAUUCUUUCAUAAAUAGCAGUUAAAGUAUUCUAAAACAUUUAAGAACCUUUCUUUGAUCAUUUAAUUCUUUUAGAA